ACAAGGUCUCUGUUGGUGAACCAGCGGAGGGAUCAUU
rnacentral:rRNA from 1 species